rnacentral:rRNA from 1 species
CACGCCGUAAACGAUGUCAACUAGCCGUUGGAAGCCUUGAGCUUUUAGUGGCGCAGCUAACGCAUUAAGUUGACCGCCUGGGGAGUACGGCCGCAAGGUUAAAACUCAAAUGAAUUGACGGGGGCCCGCACAAGCGGUGGAGCAAGUGGUUUAAUUCGAAGCAACGCGAAGAACCUUACCAGGCCUUGACAUCCAAUGAACUUUCCAGAGAUGGAUUGGUGCCUUCGGGAACAUUGAGACAGGUGCUGCAUGGCUGUCGUCAGCUCGUGUCGUGAGAUGUUGGGUUAAGUCCCGUAACGAGCGCAACCCUUGUCCUUAGUUACCAGCACGUAAUGGUGGGCACUCUAAGGAGACUGCCGGUGACAAACCGGAGGAAGGUGGGGAU